rnacentral:rRNA from 1 species
AUGUGGGCGUCGUCGUGGUCGUGGGGGUGGGGGUGGGGGUGGGGCGCCGCCGUGCUGGUGGGCGCGGCGUGCCUGUGCGCGCACGCGGCGGCGGAGGCGCUGUGGCUGCGGCCCCGGCGCCUGGAGCGGCACUUCGCGGAGCAGGGCGUGCGCGGGCCCGGGUACAGCUUCUUCGUGGGCAGCUCCAUCGAGCUGGUGAGGCUGAUGCUGGACGCGUCGUCCCGCCCCAUGGCGCCGCCGGGCUCCCACGACAUCCUCCCCCGCGUCCUCGCCUUCUACCACCAUUGGAGGAAACUCUACGGCCCGAAGCAUCUGAUCUGGUUCGGGACCAAGGCGAGGCUGACGAUCAGCGCGCCGGAGCUGGUACGGGAGGUGCUGCUAACGCGGGCGGAGCACUUCGACCGGUACGAGGCGCACCCGCUCAUCUGCCAGUUCGAGGGCUACGGCCUCGGCAACCUCCGGGGCGACCAGUGGGGGCGCCACCGCCGCGUCCUCUCCCCGGCCUUCCACACCGAGAACCUCAAGCCGCUCGUGCCCUUCAUCGCCGCCACCAUGCGCCGGAUGCUCGACGAGCUCGCGGCCAAGGCCGUCGGCAAUGGCGCCGGUGGCGAGGCGGAAGUGGACGUGGCCGAGUGGUUCCAGCGCGUGCCGCAGGAGGUGAUCACGUUCGCCACCUUCGGGCGCCGGAACUACGAGGACGGCAGGGUGGUCUUCGAGCUCCAGGACGAGCUCGCCGGCCUCGCCGCCGACGCGCACAGCAAGGUCUACAUCCCCGGGUACCGCUUCCUGCCGCUGAGGAGGAACCUGCGCGUGUGGCACCUGGUCAGGGAGAUCCGGAAGGGCCUGGCCGCCUUCAUCGCCAACCUGCCCAAGGAUGGUCAAGGUCACGGCGACGAGCCGCGGCGGGACGGCGGCGGCGGCAUGAGGGACCUGAUGAGCUUCAUGACGCCGGCCAUGACGACCGAGGAGAUCAUCGAGGAGAGCAAGAACUUCUUCUUCGCCGGGAAGGAGACGCUCGUCAGCCUCCUCACCUGGGCCACCGUCGCCCUCGCCAUGCACCCGGAGUGGCAGGACCGCGCCCGCCAGGAGGUCCUCGCCGUCGUCGGCCGCGACGACCUCCCCACCAAAGACCACCUCCCCAAGCUCAAAACCGUGGGGAUGAUCGUGAACGAGACGCUGAGGCUGUACCCGCCGGCGGUGGCGAUGAUCCGGACGGCGAACCGGGACGUGGAGCUGGGCGGGUGCGUGGUGCCGGCGGGCACGGAGCUCCUCAUCCCGAUCCUGGCGGUGCACCACGACGAGGAGCACUGGGGCGCCGACGCGACGGAGUUUAACCCGGCGCGGUUCGGCGACGACCGGCGGCCGCGGCACCAGAUGGCGUUCAUGCCGUUCGGCGGCGGCGAGCGGGUGUGCAUCGGCCAGAACCUGGCGCUGAUCGAGGCCAAGGUGGCGCUGGCCGUCGUGCUGCAGCGGUUCGCCUUCCGCCUGUCGCCGGCGUACGUGCACGCGCCCAGGGUGCUCAUGAUACUCAACCCGCAGUACGGCGCGCCGGUCAUCUUCCGGCCGCUGUGA